UACGUAGGGUGCGAGCGUUAAUCGGAAUUACUGGGUGUAAAGGGUGCGUAGGUGGCUUGAAAAGUUUGAUGUGAAAGCUCAGGGCUUAACCCUGAAAUGGCAUUGAAUACUGUCGAGCUGGAGGUUUGGAGGGGGGACUGGAAUUCUUGGUGUAGCAGUGAAAUGCGUAGAUAUCAAGAGGAACACCAGUGGCGAAGGCGAGUCCCUGGACAACACCUGACACUGAGGCACGAAAGCUAGGGGAGCAAACAGG
rnacentral:rRNA from 1 species